AACCAGAUAUUUCCACUUAAAACAAAGGUGCCAGCUCUUCUGGCUUGCCGAUUUUGGAGUAUAUAAGGCUGGACUCACUCACAGCGACUUUGGAAGCCUCACCUACAGGUGGACGCACCGCGUGGGAUUUCCCACUGGCAGGGAAAGGUAUCUCCAG